rfam:Rattus norvegicus chromosome 16, whole genome shotgun sequence.
GGGGAUUUAGCUCAGUGGUAGAGCGCUUGCCUAGGAAGCGUAAGGCCCUGGGUUCCGUCCCCAGCUCCG